GACGAACGCUGGCGGCGUGCUUAACACAUGCAAGUCGAACGAAGAGCGACGGAAGCUUGCUUCUAUCAAUCUUAGUGGCGCACGGGUGAGUAACGCGUAAUCAACCUUCCCUUCAGAGGGGGACAACAGUUGGAAACGACUGCUAAUACCGCAUACGAUCUAACCUCGGCAUCGAGGAGAGAUGAAAGGUGGCCUCUACAUGUAAGCUAUCACUGAAGGAGGGGAUUGGGUCUGAUUAGCUAGGUGGAGGGGUAACGGCCCACCAAGGCGAUGAUCAGUAGCCUGUCUGAGAGGAUGGACGGCCACCUUGGGACUGAGACACGGCCCAGACUCCUACGGGAGGCAGCAGUGGGGAAACUUCCGCCAUGGACGGAAGUCUGGCGGAGCAACGCCGGGGUGGGGAUGGCGGCCCUCGGGUUGGAAAGCUCUGUUAAUCGGGACGAAAGGCCUUCUUGCGAAUAGGGAGAAGGAUUGACGGUACCGGAAGAGAAAGCCACGGCUAACUACGUG
rnacentral:rRNA from 1 species